CAUGCUUAACACAUGCAAGUUGAACGAAGACNUCGGGCUUGCNUGAGAAUUCUUAGUGGCGAACGGGUGAGUAACGCGUGGGAACCUGCCCAGAAGAGGGGAAUAACUAUUGGAAACGAUAGCUAAUACCGCAUACAUCCUGAGGGAGAAAGGCUUCGGCCGCUUUUGGAUGGUCCCGCGUCUGAUUAGCUUGUUGGUAAGGUAACGGCUUACCAAGGCGACGAUCAGUAGCUGGUCUGAGAGGAUGAUCAGCCACACUGGGACUGAGACACGGCCCAGACUCCUACGGGAGGCAGCAGUGGGGAAUAUUGGACAAUGGGGGAAACCCUGAUCCAGCAAUGCCGCGUGAGUGAAGAAGGCCCUAGGGUUGUAAAACUCUUUCAACGGUGACGAUGAUGACGGUAGCCGUAGAAGAAGCUCCGGCUAACUCCGUGCCAGCAGCCGCGGUAAUACGGAGGGGGCUAGCGUUGUUCGGAAUUACUGGGCGUAAAGAGCACGUAGGCGGUCUAGCAAGUUAGGGGUGAAAGGCCUAGGCUCAACCUGGGAACUGCCUUUAAUACUGCUAAACUAGAGUCUGGGAGAGGGUAGUGGAAUUCCAAGUGUAGAGGUGAAAUUCGUAGAUAUUUGGAAGAACACCGGUGGCGAAGGCGGCUACCUGGACCGGUACUGACGCUGAGGUGCGAAAGCGUGGGGAGCGAACAGGAUUAGAUACCCUGGUAGUCCACGCUGUAAACGAUGAGUGCUAGAUGUUGGAGUCAUAGAUUUCAGUGUCGUAGCUNACGCGUUAAGCACUCCGCCUGGGGAGUACGGCCGCAAGG
rnacentral:rRNA from 1 species